ACGCUCGACACCUACGGGGGGCAGCAGUGGGGAAUAUUGCACAAUGGGGGAAACCCUGAUGCAGCGAUGCCGCGUGAAGGAAGAAGUAUCUCGGUAUGUAAACUUCUAUCAGCAGGGAAGAAAAUGACGGUACCUGACUAAGAAGCCCCGGCUAACUACGUGCCAGCAGCCGCGGUAAUCUGAGCGGGCUGGCAAGGC
rnacentral:rRNA from 1 species